ACACAUGGUAGCCCACAGCCACUCAACUUUGCCUAAAACUCUCAAAGCUUUUCUUUCUUUCCUCUUCUCUCUCUAAUUUUUUCUUUCUUUGCUUCUCUCCACACAUUUUGAGAGGUCACUCUAUUUCUCCCUACAGUAGUGCUAUUUUUUCUUACAUUUUCUAAAGCAAAACCCUAAAGUAAGAAGCAGAGGGGCUGAAGAAGAAACCAUCUCUGGCCAGCUGAGCUCCUCUUCUUCAAUUGAAACUCAAACCCAAUUUAUCCAACUCAAGCACAAUUACUCAAACCCAGUUUAUGCAACUCAAACUCAAUUCCUCCUCUUCGAUCCUUAAUUUAUGGAACCCCAUCCAACCAUAACUCCCAAAUCAAAAAAAAACUUAUUAAUAUAAAAAUUAAAAAAUCCAAAUCCAAACACAACAAUAAUUUUCAACCUUCUCUACAAACCCACAGGAAAAUAAUCCCAAAGAAAAAAAAAGAGCAUUUGGGAGAAUAUUGUUUGGUUUAUUCAUGAAUAUUCGUUGGGAUUGUUUGGUCGAUGAAUUCGACAAUCUCGAUCGAUUCAGGGAAAUUCAAUGAUGGGUUUCCAGACCCAAAAAAUGAAGGAAUCGAUGAUUGCCUCCGUGAAGUUUCCGGCGGUGAAGGCAGAAAUCGAUGAGCAGAGAGAGAAAGAGAAGGAGAGCAGAAAAUGAAGGAGUUUUUUUUUCCUCACCAAAGUAAUCUCAACCUUUGAUUCUAUUAGUGGGGCACGUGUCAAGCCCUUCCAGAUCACUCUAGAGGAUAACUCCACCAGAUCACUCUAGAGGAUCCUUGUGCUAACAGUUUCGCAUUGUAAUGGAAGCUCUGGAUAUUGUUCAUGUUAGCAAAGAGGAUCAAGAAAGUGUAUUUAAAAUGCUCACUGCAGUUUUGUGGUUGGGGAAUGUCUCCUUUACAGUGAUUGAUAAUGAAAACCAUGUUGAACCUGUGGCAGAUGAAGGUAACAAUCUACUAAAAAGAUAAAGUUUAACAGUUGCAUGGUUGCUUUGUUCAUUUGAUUUGUUGUUAUUUAUUUUGCUUGUAGGUGGAUUAUUGGCUGUAGGUAGCAACACUCCUAUUUGAAUGAACAAUCCUAUUUAUUGCAGUUUGGACAUACUAAUCUAUACUAGCCCUCCUUGAGCCUGUUGCUCUUGAGUAUGACCCCAUGCACCUCAGUUCAAGGGUUCAAAUGCUAGUGACAGAUUGCUAAAAUUGGACAUGGCAAUCCUUGUUGCAGUGAAGAGGUUUUGAAACCCCUUCAGAAAAUAUUGCAUUGCUGAUGGUACUUCAUGAAUGCCAUCAGCUGUUGUUAUAAUCAAAUCAAAAAUUUAGAAAACAAGCUCAUAGGAUUUUGGAAGAGGGGGAGGAACUAUUAAUAGAUUCGAUUGAUUGUUGAUAUUUGCUGAUAUCUACUUGUUUCUCUCACUUCAAUCCACUGUCUUGAUGAUAGCAUAGGUGGAUUAAUAAAUUCUUCCCAUACUUUCCUUUGUCUUUAAGCAAUAAGUUUUAUACAUGGGUGGAUUAAUAAAUUCUUCCCAUACUUUCCGUAGCAUGGGUGGAUUAAUAAAUUUUUCCCAUUCUGAACCAACAUAAAUUUGGUUAAUUUUAUAUGAUAAAUCAAUAAAUGGUGGGUUACAUAUCAGUUUUCUAGGAGAAUGGCUUUAAGCCAAACCUUGAUUGUACUAUUGUGGGUUAAAGAUCUGGGCAUUGAUAUUGUUUGAAUUUUAUGCAUAUUUUCUGAAAAUGAUAAAUGAAAGCUCAAUUUUCCAUCUUUCUGCUAUCUAUGCUCCCUUGAAUAUCAGGAAUCUCUUGACAACGUGCUAGUUGAACUCUACAAGGUACGCACAUUUCUUCAAAUCUGACCUUCUCUAUCACCAUAGAUAUAGCUGUUGAUUUGAUGUGAAUUUUGUUGGUAACAAUUAGGAGAAUUUGGAAAUGCAACUUUUGUGUAUGGAUGACUCGUGUGAUUUUCAUAGCAUUUGGAAAGAAUGCCUUUUUGGUUUUCGUGGCAUUUGGAAUAAGUUGUGUUUGGAUUUAAUGGAUAGGAAAUUAAAUGAUUUG